AUAUGCGAAACAGCUCCACUGAGGUUGAAACUGCAAUCCUCGUGCGGGCUGCAACCUCCGAACCAAGUGAGAUUGAUGGUGGCAGCACUGAUAUCAUAGAAAUGCCCUCUAACAUUCCUCCCGGCUCCUUCUCAAUUCAAUGUCCUGAAAAAGAGGAAACCUCGUAUUUUACUUCUGAUCCUAGGAGAAGAUCUAAUGCAAAGAAGCACAAGAAGGACAAGAGCGCACCGGGUUGCAAGGAGAGGGACGCAAUAAUGUCCAACACCAAAGUUAAGACGCCAUACAUGAGAUUCUUAAGGAUGAGGAAACCACGUAACAUCAGCAAGAUCUCUUUCAUCGAGAAGUCCCCUGCUGACAGAGAGGCUACCAUGACUGAUCUCUCUGGGUACUCCAGCAGCAUGGAGCAUUCCUCGGAGGUGAAGGUGUGCACUGACUCUUCAAAGACAAAUAUGCAGCUGUUCCCUGACAUGGCACACGCUGUGCACAACAUCAUUCAUGAGAAGACCAUCAUCGACAGUUGUAACGCAACCACACAACUUCAGGGUAACAGCCAACAACAAACAAUCGGGAGGGAUUUUGUAGAAAACCUCAGUUUCUCGAAUUUGCAGGACGAGGUGACACUCAGACAUGGGUGCAGGUCCCAGAGUGCGACAGCACCAAUGCCUCCGAAGCAGUACACCAAGAAUAAUUCAUGGUUGCGCAAUUUCAAACUCACCAAG
rnacentral:lncRNA from 1 species